GUUUUAUUUUGGCUUAAAGUUAUUGAUUGCUUUAUUAUUGAAAAUUACAUGAUAAUUAUGAUUUGCGUAUAAAGGAAGUAGUAUUGUUAUUUAAAUGAACUAUUAUAAAGAUUUAAGGAGUUUAUAAUUCUUAAAGUCUCAGUAUAAAGGCUUGUACAAUUACUUAGAUGUGCGGAAGUACGAUAUGGUAAAUAAUAAGUAAAUUUGAUAAAUAUUUGUGCCAGCAUUCGCGGUUAUACUUUAAAAUUAAGUAAAAGGAUUAGGUAUAGUUAGAUAGGAAUAAUGAUGAUAUUAUUGAUAAUAAAGGGUAAAAUUGGGUUAUUAUUGUAUAAUGAAAGUUAAUUAUAAUUGAGGCUAAUAAAGUUUAGUUAUAAACUAGGAUUAGAUACCCUAUUAUUCUGAACUAAAGUUUGACAACCUAGAUGUCUAGUAAUUAUUUCUUUAAAAUUAAAAAAUUUGGCGGUUGUUUAGUCUUUUCAGAGGAACUUGUUUUAUAAUCGAUACACCACGUAGAAUCUUACUUACUUAGUUUGAAGUUUGUAUACCGUCAUUAGUAGAUAAUUUUUAAAAAAGUAAUUAUUGGGAUUAAUUAUUUAAAUAAAUUAGAUCAUGGUACAGCUUAUAAGUAAGUAAAAAUGAGUUACAAUAAAUUUUUUUUAUAAUGGAAGAAUAAAUGAAAUUUUAUUAUGAAGGAGGAUUUGAUUGUAUUAUUUUUUUUAAUAAGUAAAUAAUAUAUAAGCUCUAAAUUAUGUACAUAUCGCCCGUCGCUUUCAUCUACAAAUGAAAUAAGUCGUAACAUAGUAAAUAUACUGGAAAGUGUAUUUAGAA
rnacentral:ncRNA from 1 species